rnacentral:piRNA from 1 species
UGAUAAUAUCAGAGGAUGCUUACCAUUUA